AUGGCCUCUUGUGCUCACAGGACUCAGCGAUACCCGAGCCGCUCUGCAGUACAGCCCCGGGACGGCGAGAAGGGGGCACCCCUUUUCAGAACAAAUGGCCUACGUGGUCCCUGCACGCUCUCCCCGGAACACACGGUAGUUCAAAGUGGGGGCCUUAUAACUGGUGGACCCAGCAUACAGAGAGGAAAUGUCUGGCUGGAUGAUCCACAACAUGUCCAUUUCUAAAGACAACCAGGAGAGGUCGGCAGGUCAUCCUCAGACCACUGAUCCAGGGAGCUCAAGUAAGGAGUGAAGGCAUUGGUGAGCCAGUGGAACUGCCUGAUGUUGCACCAGGGCUUGCUGUACAGAAAGUGCAGGCCCCCAAAAUGAACACUGACUGGCUGCAGCUAGUGGCAUCGCAGUGAUUCCAGGCCAGAGUUGCUGCAGUGUGUCA